rnacentral:lncRNA from 1 species
AAGGAACUAAGUUACAGCCCUCUGGCAAAAGAAAAAAGGCCGAACGAGUUACUUAAACUUAAAAGAGGGCAGCAUGGAAGAUAUUCAUGUUUGAUGGUCCACAGAUAUUCAAUGUCUGCAAUAUAAAAAUCUUCCAGCAUAGCUACGUUGGCUGUGGGCAUGAAAAGAUUGGUAGGUGAGAUAGCUCUGCAGAAGCCCCAUCAUGGAGACAAAGUCCUCGAUGGGCUGCGAUGAUUUGGGAAGCUUCCUUUCAAGCCUUGGAUUUUGUUCAGGUGUAUAGCUGGUGUUGCAAAGACCUGGAGCAGGAUAAUAUAUAUUUAAUCCUAGUCUUGUCCCGUAGGAUGAUUAUUCUUUUAAGCUGUGCCUCCCAUGCUCGCCGGGUAACUGCUAAUGACUGAAAGUCUAAAUGAAGAGCAGGUCAAUAAACAGAAGUAAUUGGACUAACA